rnacentral:piRNA from 1 species
UCUUAUUAAAAGUAGGCUUACGCGUUGC